CCACUGAUCUAGAUUUUUCCUUUCAUUCUCUUUCCCAGAUAACUGUUCAGAUGUCUAAGAACCUUGCUUGAUGAGCAGACACUUGAGAUCCUAAUGAGAUCAGGAAUCUUUGCAACAUCAUCUUCUAAAGGACUUCAGAAUC
rnacentral:lncRNA from 1 species